rnacentral:rRNA from 1 species
UACGAAGGGGGCUAGCGUUGCUCGGAAUUACUGGGCGUAAAGGGCGCGUAGGCGGCGCGAGUAGUCAGGCGUGAAAUUCCUGGGCUUAACCUGGGGACUGCGCUUGAUACGCUUGUGCUAGAGGACGGAAGAGGCUCGUGGAAUUCCCAGUGUAGAGGUGAAAUUCGUAGAUAUUGGGAAGAACACCGGUGGCGAAGGCGGCGAGCUGGUCCGUUACUGACGCUGAGGCGCGACAGCGUGGGGAGCAAACAGG